AAGUAUCCUAAAAAAGUAUCACAUGUUCUGAAAAAAUAUUAAGCAGCAGAACUGUUUCCAACUUUGAUAAUGAAUCAUCAUAUUAGAAUGAUUUCUAAAGGAUCAUGUGAUAAUGAUCCUAAAAAUUCAGCUUUGCAUCACAGAAAUAAAUGAUAAUUUAAAGUAUAAUACAUAUAAAAACAAUUAUUUUAAAUUGUAAUAAUAUAUCACAAUAGUACAUUUUUUCUGUAUUUUUGAUCAAAUAAUUGCAGGCUUGAUGAGCAGAAGAAACUUCUUUCAAAAACAUUAAAAAUAGUAAUGUUUCCAAACUUUUGGUCUGUACUGUAUAUUAGGUUAAAAUACUUUAAUGAUGGAUUGUUUUUUUUUUCUUUUUUACAAAUAUACAGCUUUUCACUUCACAAGAUUUCAGUGGUGUGGAUUACUUGUGGAUUAUUGUGAUGUUUUUAUCAGCUGUUUGGACUCUCAUUCUGACGGCACCCAUUCACUGCAGAGGAUCCACUGGUGAGCAAGUGAUGUAUUGCUCUGGAUUUAAAAUAUGAUCCUGACAGCCUGCUAAAAACCUAAAAGGUAUCAACUACCUCACAAAAUUUUCUAUGGUAAUAUAGUUUCCACAAAAACUUAAAGAAAAAGCAUGAAAAAAUAAAAUCCCACGUGGAAAGAAACUGAAAUAUUAUGUAAAAACUUCUACAAAUGUUGCAAUAUCUGUAAACCUGUAAAAUAUUUUCUUCAUUGAUUAAAAAAGCUUACAGAAUCUUUUUGUUGUUUUGUAUAAUAUUCUUGAUUUAGUGAUUUGUGAAAGUGGCUAAUAUAAAACCACAUAUUUACAACUUUACUUACUAUGGUAUUCUGCAGGAACUAUGAUUUUUAUUUUAUUUAUAUAUUUAUUUUUUUGCUUUAAUAGUCAAAAACUGUGUUUUGCCUCUCUUGCAGCCAGUAUCGCACACUUUAAACCCUGCGCCGCUUGUAACAUUAGGUUGGGGGGAGGACUUAAAAUGCACGUGAAUCGUUUAAAGCUCGUCUUCUUCCAGAAACGAAGUAGCCGAGAUGAACUUAAGAUAUGCGUGGAGAAUGAGACGGCAGAAAGCACACCCUGUAUAUUUUCUUUAUUUUACAAAAGCACAAUGUUUUGUUGAUAUUGUGAGUGUACACAAAUAAAAGUAGAGCCUUUACAGAUUUAAAUGAUGUA
ensembl:lncRNA